rnacentral:lncRNA from 1 species
AUUUCAGCCAGAUAAAGGAAACAAUGUAUUUAGCUCCUAUUAGAGACAAAAUAAUUAGAAUAAUUAUCAAUUAAUAAUAAAUACAAGUACCCAGAAAUUAAGCAGGUAGAAUUCAAUAUGUGAAAAUGUUAAAGGGAAAGAAAUGUUCCAUUGAGGACAGCUUUAGCCACAAAUUUCCAAAGCCUAUUUAAAGUUGAAACCUUUUGAAAUUAAAUAUAAGGGGAAGUGUUUUUCUACACUUAAAUAUAAAACUAAAUUAAGAAAGUUAUAUAUUUUAAAAAUAUUUAGAGGAUCAGACAAUAAAUUAGACAAGAUGCUAUUUUAAAAUGUGUUUGAACUUUUCUGAACAUCAUUUCUUUCUUUUUUUUUUAAAGAGAGAGAGAGAGAGAGAGAGAAUUUUUAAUAUUUAUAUUUUUUAGUUUUCAGCGGACACAACAUCUUUGUUUGUAUGUGGUGCUGAGGAUCGAACCCGGGCCGCACGCAUGCCAGCAGAGUGUGCUACCGCUUGAGCCAUAUCCGCAGCCCAACAUCAUUUCUUAAAUACUGUCCAACUUUAACAUGGUCACAACUUGUGUUGCAGCCUCAUUGUAUUAAUCAUUCCUCCCCCAAAUUGCCUUGUGCUUUUCAGGUCUGUGGCCCUGUUCUACUCAAAAUGCUGCCCACUCCUUAUUCUUUGAGCCCUGGCCCAGAUGCUAACUCCUUUGUGAAGUCUGACUUGUGGCCUGAUUUAGCUUUUUAUUUGUGUAGGAGCACUUAUCAAAUGGUGUUGUAUUUUUCAUUUCAUUUUUCAUAUCUCUUCCUCAUCAGAUUAUGAACUUAUCUAAUGCUUUUUAAGUUUCUAGCAUUCACCAUUAACCCUAUUAUGUAGUAGACACUUAGUGUUAGCUGAUGAAUGUUGUCUGUCUAUAAAAGUUAUAUGUAGACUAAAGGAAACUAUGUUUAGUGUUCUUCCAGCCUUUAUUGAAAAGAUGUUAUAAAAUAUAUUAGGAGAGAUUGGAGAAACCCCAACAAGAAUAGAAUUAGUUUUAUUGUUUGACCUUUGAUAAAGAGUUGUAGAAAGCUGGGGAAAACUUUAGAGAAAAGAAAGCAGCAAAGGUGAUUUAGUAAAAACAAAAGAAUGGAUGUCAUAGACGUUAGUGUUCUCUUCCUCAAGACCAACUACACGUGUCAUGAAGUAAUCAGUUCAGAUAAUAUCUUUUUGAUGAUAGGCGUAGAAGGACUCUGGAGGAGGUUGUUGAUUUGGGGGAAAUUUGUUCAUCCCUUGUCACACCCCACCACAGAUAUUCAGGGAGAGAAGUAUGAAUAGCCGAUGCCUGGCGACCUCAUUCCAUAUGAAAAUUCAGAAAGUUUCAUAACCAUCAUCCAACUAAUCAAUUUGAGAUUCCCAAACCUAUGCUUACCAGGGGCAGUUGUGGAGGUUGUGGAAAUAGGAUCUGAGGGAAAAACGGUGAUACUUGUAGUGGGAAAAAGUUAAAUCUCUAUGAAAAGAAAUAUAAUGUGAGUAAUUCUGACAGUUGAAAACAUUUAAAAUGAUGAAUGUGUCAUUUGAAAAUACAAAGUUUACCUGUGCACUGGAACUUCCUCCAGAUUGUUCAAGCUUGUAAAACAACAAGAGCAAUAAGGUAAGGCAGCAAAAGGCAGUAAAUGACCCAUUAAAAAGAGAUUUGAUUUUAAAAGAGAACAGGUAACAACCCACCA